rnacentral:rRNA from 3 species
UCAAGUUAUUAAGGGUGCAGGGCGGAUGCCUUGGCACUAGGAGCCGAUGAAGGACGUGAUAAGCUGCGAUAAGCUUCGGGGAGUUGCACGUAAACUUUGAUCCGAAGAUUUCCGAAUGAGGAAACUCACUUAGAGUAAUGUCUAAGUAUCAUUAAGUGAAUACAUAGCUUAAUGAGGGGAACUCAGGGAACUGAAACAUCUAAGUACCUGAAGGAAGAGAAAGAAAUUCGAUUCCGUAAGUAGCGGCGAGCGAACGCGGAUUAGCCCAAACCAAUAAAGUUUUCUUUAUUGGGGUUGCGGACAUAUCAUAACGAAGAGGUAUCGUAAUUGAAGAGGUUUGGAAAGACCCACCACAGAAGGUAAUAGUCCUGUAUGUUAAACGAGAAGACUUUAGAUAUGAUCCAGAGUACCACGGGACACGUGAAACCCUGUGGGAAGCAGGAGGGACCACCCUCCAAGGCUAAAUACUACCUAGUGACCGAUAGCGUAUAGUACCGUGAGGGAAAGGUGAAAAGAACCCCGGGAGGGGAGUGAAAUAGAACCUGAAACCCUGCACUUACAAGCUGUGGAAGCACAUUUCUUGUGUGACCGCGUACUUUUUGUAGAACGGGCCAACGAGUUACGUUAAGUAGCAAGGUUAAGCACUUAAGGUGCGGAGCCGUAGCGAAAGCGAGUUUUAACUGAGCGUUCAGUUACUUGACGUAGACCCGAAACCGGGCGACCUACCCAUGAGCAGGAUGAAGCGAAAGUAAAAUUUCGUGGAGGUCCGAACCCACGAGCGUUGAAAAGCUCGGGGAUGACUUGUGGGUAGCGGUGAAAUUCCAAUCGAGCCCGGAGAUAGCUGGUUCUCCCCGAAAUAGCUUUAGGGCUAGCCUCAAGGUGAGAGAUACGGAGGUAGAGCACUGAAUGUCCUAGGGGGUAUUGCACCUACCGAAGACUAUCAAACUCCGAAUGCCGUCAUCUUAUACUUGGGAGUCAGACUGUGGGUGAUAAGAUUCAUAGUCGAAAGGGCAACAGCCCAGAUCGUCAGCUAAGGUCCCUAAAUGUAAGUUAAGUGGUAAAGGAUGUGGGAUUGCACAGACAACCAGGAUGUUGGCUUAGAAGCAGCCACUCAUUCAAAGAGUGCGUAAUAGCUCACUGGUCGAGUGAUCCUGCGCCGAAGAUUUCCGGGGCUAAAACUUACUACCGAAGCUACGGCAUCAGUAAUGAUGGGUAGGGGAGCUUCCCAUACGGGUUGAAGCAUGACCGUAAGGACAUGUGGACAGUAUGGGAGUGAGAAUGUUGGCAUGAGUAGCGAGAUGUGGGUGAGAAUCCCACAGGCCGUAAACCCAAGGUUUCCAGGGGAAGGUUCGUCCGCCCUGGGUUAGUCGGGACCUAAGCUGAGGCCGAAAGGCGUAGGUGAUGGACAACAGGUUGAUAUUCCUGUACUACCGAUAACCGUUUGAGAGAAGGGAUGACACAGUAGGAUAAGCUAAGCACACUGUUGGUUAUGUGUGCCCAAGCAUUGAGGCAGUCAAAGUAGGCAAAUCCGCUUUGAUAAUGCUGGGAUGUGAUGGGGAGCGAAAUUUAGUAGCGAAGUAGCUGAUUUCACACUGUCAAGAAAAGUCUCUAUCGAGGUUAAAGGUACCCGUACCGCAAACCGACACAGGUGGGUGAGGAGAGUAUCCUAAGGCCAGCGAGAGAACUGUUGUUAAGGAACUCGGCAAAAUGACCCCGUAACUUAGGGAUAAGGGGUGCCACCAUCAGGUGGCCGCAGAGAAUAGGCCCAAGCGACUGUUUACCAAAAACAUAGGUUUCUGCUAAGUCGCAAGACGAUGUAUAGGAGCUGACGCCUGCCCGGUGCUGGAAGGUUAAGGGGAUCUGUUAGAGCAAUCGAAGCAGUGAACUUAAGCCCCAGUAAACGGCGGCCGUAACUAUAACGGUCCUAAGGUAGCGAAAUUCCUUGUCGGGUAAGUUCCGACCCGCACGAAAGGCGUAACGAUUUGGGCACUGUCUCAACAACAGACUCGGUGAAAUUGUAAUUCCGGUGAAGAUGCCGGAUACCUGCGACAGGACGGAAAGACCCCAUGGAGCUUUACUGUAGCUUGACAUUGGGUCUUGGUACUACAUGUACAGGAUAGGUGGGAGGCUUUGAAACCAGGACGCCAGUUUUGGCGGAGCCAUCCUUGGGAUACCACCCUUGUAGUACUGGGACUCUAACCAUAGGCCAUGAAUCUGGUCUUGGGACACUGUCAGGUGGGCAGUUUGACUGGGGCGGUCGCCUCCCAAAAGGUAACGGAGGCGCUCAAAGGUUCUCUCAGUACGGUCGGAAAUCGUACGUAGAGUGUAAAGGCAAAAGAGAGCUUGAUUGCAAGACAUACAGGUCGAGCAAGGAUGAAAAUCGGACUUAGUGAUCCGGUGGUUCUGCGUGGAAGGGCCAUCGCUCAACGGAUAAAAGCUACCCUGGGGAUAACAGGCUUAUCUCCCCCAAGAGUCCACAUCGACGGGGAGGUUUGGCACCUCGAUGUCGGCUCAUCACAUCCUGGGGCUGUAGUAGGUCCCAAGGGUUGGGCUGUUCGCCCAUUAAAGUGGUACGCGAGCUGGGUUCAGAACGUCGUGAGACAGUUCGGUCCCUAUCCGUCGCAGGCGUAGGAAAUUUGAGAAGACCUGUCCUUAGUACGAGAGGACCGGGAUGGACGUACCUCUGGUGUACCAGUUGUUCUGCCAAGGGCAUGGCUGGGUAGCUAUGUACGGAAUGGAUAAGCGCUGAAAGCAUCUAAGCGCGAAGCCAACUUCAAGAUAAGAUUUCCCACCGCAAGGGUAAGACCCCAGAAAGACUAUCUGGUUGAUAGGUCGAAGGUGUAAGUGCAGCAAUGUAUUUAGCUUAUCGAUACUAAUAGGUCGAGGACUUGACCAA